rnacentral:piRNA from 1 species
CUUCCACGAUUAUAACCCCGGGCGCC